rnacentral:rRNA from 1 species
CCCUGGCUCAGAUUGAACGCUGGCGGCAUGCCUUACACAUGCAAGUCGAACGGUAGAGUAGCAAUACUCGAGAGUGGCGAACGGGUGAGUAAUAUAUCGGAACGUGCCCAGUCGUGGGGGAUAACGUAGAGAAAUUUACGCUAAUACCGCAUACGAUCUACGGAUGAAAGCGGGGGACUCGCAAGGGCCUCGCGCGAUUGGAGCGGCUGAUAUCAGAUUAGGUUGUUGGUGAGGUAAAAGCUCACCAAGCCGACGAUCUGUAGCUGGUUUGAGAGAACGACCAGCCACACUGGGACUGAGACACGGCCCAGACUCCUACGGGAGGCAGCAGUGGGGAAUUUUGGACAAUGGGCGAAAGCCUGAUCCAGCAAUGCCGCGUGCAGGAAGAAGGCCUUCGGGUUGUAAACUGCUUUUGUACGGAACGAAACGGUCCUUUCUAAUAAAGAGGGCUAAUGACGGUACCGUAAGAAUAAGCACCGGCUAACUA